rnacentral:rRNA from 1 species
CUGGCGGCGUGCUUAAUACAUGCAAGUCAACGACUUUUAGAGUAGCUAAUAUUUAAAAGGAGUGGCGCAACGGGUGAGUAACACGUAGGUAAUCUGCCUUCAGGACUGACACAACUCGUCGAAAGACGGGCUAAUAUCAGAUAAUGCAGCGGCUCCGCAUGGAGACAGUUGUUAAAGUACAAGCGCCUGAAGAUGAGCCUGCGGUCCAUUAGCUAGUUGGUAGAGUAACAGCCUACCAAGGCGACGAUGGAUAGCUGGUCUGAGAGGAUGAUCAGCCACACUGGAACUGAGACACGGUCCAGACUCCUACGGGAGGCAGCAGUAAGGAAUAUUGCUCAAUGGCCGAAAGGCUGAAGCAGCAACGCCGCGUGAAGGAUGAAUGGCCUUUGGCCUGUAAACUUCUGUAAAAAGGGAAAACAAUCAGGCAUGUCCUGAUUUGAUUGUACCUUUGAAGUAAGCCCCGGCUAACUACGUG